AUGUAUCCCUCCUAAACUCCGGUUCUGAGCGCGCCGUCCGCACCCACCUGACGACUGCUCGCCACGUUUUGUUAGCC
rnacentral:sRNA from 1 species